CAGUAGCCACGGUAAUACGAAGGGGGCUAGCGUUGCUCGGAAUCACUGGGCGUAAAGGGUGCGUAGGCGGGUCUUUAAGUCAGAGGUGAAAUCCUGGAGCUCAACUCCAGAACUGCCUUUGAUACUGAGGAUCUUGAGUUCGGGAGAGGUGAGUGGAACUGCGAGUGUAGAGGUGAAAUUCGUAGAUAUUCGCAAGAACACCAGUGGCGAAGGCGGCUCACUGGCCCGAUACUGACGCUGAGGCACGAAAGCGUGGGGAGCAAACAGGAUUAGAUACCCGGGUAGUCCCUGUCUCUUAUAC
rnacentral:rRNA from 1 species